rnacentral:rRNA from 1 species
UACGUAGGGUGCAAGCGUUGUCCGGAAUUAUUGGGCGUAAAGAGCUCGUAGGCGGUUUGUCGCGUCUGCUGUGAAAUCCGGAGGCUCAACCUCCGGCCUGCAGUGGGUACGGGCAGACUAGAGUGCGGUAGGGGAGAUUGGAAUUCCUGGUGUAGCGGUGAAAUGCGCAGAUAUCAGGAGGAACACCAGUGGCGAAGGCGCCGCUCUGGGCCGUGACUGACGCUGAGGAGCGAAAGCGUGGGUAGCAAACAGG